rnacentral:lncRNA from 1 species
UAAAAACCCAAAUUUCCCCUUAUUCUCGAAACCUAAUUUGAAGAUCCCACUCCAAAUCAACCAACAUCAAGAACAGAAAAUUCGGAGCCCUAGCUCUCAUUCUUCACCCCAUCUGCACUGGUUCACACCAGAUUGGAACCCUAGCUCUCCUUCUUCCCUACCAGACUAUUCGGGCCAAUCACUUCACACUAACAACAUCGUUCGUCUAUCCAACAACGGAGGCGAUUACAUACGGUGGCCCCCGCAGUGGAUACGGUUCCGACAUAACCCUCAAGAUCUACGUCUACGAUGAAACAGAAAUUGGCAGCGUUAAAGAGCUGUUGCACGGACAUGACUAAACAUGACUCAAGGGCCGAUUGGGCAGUCAGAUAUUAAGUCAAAACUAGGUUGGAUUGACGAGCAUGAGAUAUAAUUUGCCACAACUAGCUUAGCUUUGGGAAAGGAAGUGUCCAGUAACAAGAAAGAGCAUAGAAAACUGCCAUUCAAGCGCUUAUCAAUGCCUCAGCCACCCAAACUCUUCUUUGGUCUAUCAAUGGUUGCAGGUUUGUAGACUUGAGUUUUAGAAGUGCAGUAUUAUCAUCCAUUAAAUUUUAAGUGUCUUGCAUUCUAGCAAGUCAACCAUGUAUCAAACUCGAUCACUGCAAAUGAGUGAACGGUUGGUGGUAGAGAACCGGAAAAAGUAUUAAAAUGUUAAGGCUCCUUCAAGAUUUUCUGAAUUUAAAAUAGAGUCUUAUCUUUAAACAAUUGUUUUCCAUAGGGAGAUUAACGAAGUGCAGAAGGGGAGUUGGUGGUGUUCUGAUUUCACUCACGGAUAGCAUCCGAAGCAAACAAAGUAUUUAUUGUCGUUGAGUAACUGAUUAAGGUUUGGUUGAGGUGAUUAUGCAUUAGCUCCUACAACAGGCACCAUUAUGUAAGCCAUUGGAGCAUAUCGGUUUGCUGCUGUUGCAAGUGCUGCUAGUAGAGUGAUGUAGGUUCUGUUGCACUUGUUGCAUCAUUUGGAGAUAUCUUUUGAUAGAAGCUUAUGUAUUUGGCAUUUAAAUUUUAAAUUUAUGUAUGGAUUUUGGUUUAUUAUUGUUAAUAUUAUUUGGUUUUUAAGUUUUCUU